GACGAACGCUGGCGGUGUGCUUAACACAUGCAAGUCGAACGGUAAGGCCCUUUCGGGGGUCCACGAGUGGCGAACGGGUGAGUAACACGUGAGUAACCUGCCCUCAUCUCUGGGAUAACAGUCGGAAACGGUUGCUAAUACUGGAUAUGAGCUUGCAAGGCAUCUUGUGGGUUGGAAAGAUUUUUUCUGGUUGGGGAUGGACUCGCGGCCUAUCAGCUUGUUGGUGGGGUAGUGGCUCACCAAGGCUUCGACGGGUAGCCGGCCUGAGAGGGCGACCGGCCACAUUGGGACUGAGAUACGGCCCAAACUCCGACGGGAGGCAGCAGUGGGGAAUAUUGCACAAUGGACGGAAGUCUGAUGCAGCAACGCCGCGUGCGGGAUGACGGCCUUCGGGUUGUAAACCGCUUUCAAUUGUGACGAAGCUUUUUUGUGACGGUAGCAGUAGAAGAAGCACCGGCUAACUACGUG
rnacentral:rRNA from 1 species